GACGUAGGGUGCAAGCGUUGUCCGGAUUUACUGGGCGUAAAGAGCGCGUAGGCGGUCUUGUAAGUGUGAAGUGAAAUCUCCAGGGCUCAACCCGGAAACUGCUUUGCAUACUGCGAGACUAGAGGGAUGCAGAGGUUUGUGGAAUUCCUGGUGUAGCGGUGAAAUGCGUUGAUAUCAGGAGGAACACCCAUGGGCGAAGGCAGCAAACUGGGCAUCAUCUGACGCUGAGGCG
rnacentral:rRNA from 1 species